UAGUCCACGCCGUAAACGAUGGAUACUAGUUGUUUGGUUUUCGGACUGAGUGACUAAGCGAAAGUGAUAAGUAUCCCACCUGGGGAGUACGGUCGCAAGAUUGAAACUCAAAGGAAUUGACGGGGGCCCGCACAAGCGGUGGAGCAUGUGGUUUAAUUCGAUGAUACGCGAGGAACCUUACCAGGGCUUAAAUGUAAGUUGCAUAGAGUAGAGAUAUUCUUUUCUUCGGACUACUUACAAGGUGCUGCAUGGUUGUCGUCAGCUCGUGCCGUGAGGUGUCAGGUUAAGUCCUAUAACGAGCGCAACCCCUACCGUUAGUUGCCAGCAUGUAAAGAUGGGGACUCUAGCGGGACUGCCAGUGCAAACUGUGAGGAAGGUGGGGAUGACGUCAAAUCAUCACGGGCCCUUACGUCCUGGGGCUUCACACGUGCUACAAUGGGAUGAUACAAAGAGCAGCCACUUGGCAACAAGGAGCGAAUCUCAAAAAGUC
rnacentral:rRNA from 1 species